UACGGAGGGUGCGAGCGUUGUCCGGAAUCACUGGGCGUAAAGGGCGCGUAGGUGGCCGAGCAAGGUCGCGGUGAAAGCCCGGGGCUCAACCCCGGGUCGGCCGUGGCAACUACUGGGCUGGAGCACUGUAGGGGCGGGUGGAAUUCCGGGUGUAGCGGUGGAAUGCGUAGAGAUCCGGAAGAACACCGGUGGCGAAGGCGGGUCUCUGGGCCUUACCUGACGCUGAGGAGCGAAAGCGUGGGUAGCGAACAGG
rnacentral:rRNA from 1 species